AAAUCAAAAAGAAAAGAUCCUUUCUGUCAUUCGUAUGCAAUGCGUUAUUGCUUAUGCAAGCGAGGGCUUAAUCGUGGAUGAAUCUCGUCUGGUUAUUUGCCACAAUUCAACUCCGUAAUAGAUUUACCGCAUCAUCGAUAAACCAAGGUUGCAGUCCAGGCUGAAGAUUGCAGUGCCUUUCAGGCUGGAAAUUGUUCGGAGUUUCGUCUGAUUUGAGUUGUGGCAGUGGUUAAUUUGAUCGAUGCGUCGCCGGUGGCAAUGUGGAAUUGGGGAAUGAGAUAAUGCUUUGAACGUUUUGAAUUAGGGUUGACCUGCUGCUUUAGAUCAUUUUUUUGCCCUUGGAGUUUUUGGCUCGAGGAAUGAAUUGGUUGAUUUUUACCACAAAGCUAUGUAAGGAAAUGUUUUUUGGCGUACUCUUGUUAGUUUGCAUAUUUUGUUGGGGAAUUUAUGUUUGAUAAUGUGGAAUCAAUUGAGUGGAAGUUUAUUGUUGUUUUGCUAGACGGCUAAUAUCCAGCAUUUGUGUGACCGCAGAUCUGCAUGAUUUUGUGCCGUGGGUUUAAAUAAUGUACUCUGUUCUGUGGUAUACAUGUGAUUUUGUAUCUACGUGUUUAUUUGAUGCCUUGUUCGGCAUGUAUUAAUUAAUUUCCAAAACAGUGGUAGCAAACAGUGGACUUGAAGAUUCCAUUUACAGCCUUAUUAUUCCGUUGGCGAAGUUGAGUAUCUAAUGAAUCACAACUGGGACAUUUCGACAGACUUGGUGGUUUUUUUUUAUUUUGGGGUUCACUUUUUCCAUUUUUCUAUGCAUCUUUGUAUAUCUUCUGCAUGUAUGGGUUAUCUGUUGUGGUUUACAAUAUUCAUUAGUGAUCAUAUAUAUGAUACUACAAAUUAAUGCAUUAUUGUGAAGACUUGAAUUUAUGCAAUCUAGGGAUUCCAUUGACAGAAAACUGGAUUCAGAGCUGGGUAUUUACAAUGGGGUUUUUUCCCUUUUCUUGUAUGUUAUUAAAACAGAAUACAUCUAUACCUGCUCAUUUCUGCCUUACCCAUAAUUUUUCUACAAUUUCAUUUAUCAUGUGGUUUGCAACAGCAUACUGGUGGCCAUCUUGAUCUGCACCAUGGCAUAACCAUCUGCAUUGUUAAAUCUUGGUUCUCAAAACAUGAAUGCUGCAUUAUUUCCAUGGGAAUGGCUAAGGAGUGUGCAGUAAAUGAACUGCAGAAAGUGAAUGGUUUGGAAGCGUGCCUAACAUAACAGCGGUUGCGAUCAAAAUUUUGCUCAUGUCGUGUGUUCUUGAUAUUUAUGAACAAGGUGUAAGACCUUUUGUUGAUAAAGUGCAUUUGUACAUGAUUGUGAAUGAAACAAUAUUCGUGGUAUGCCAUCAUUCAACUCCUCCUAUGAUAGACCACAAUGUUGGCACCUCUUUUGUGAUUCCAUGGGUAGGACUGAAUAGUUGUGGCAGAUCCGAGAGGUGGAUAGUUAAUUUUUAUUAGCUAUGUUUAAUUGUUUUUCCUUGCAGUUUGAUAGAAAUACAUUUAGUGAACAGAUAGACAAGAACAGAGUGCUUCCAUUAAGCAGAUCCUUAAAGAUUUGGCGUUCAAUAUCCAACACCAAAGCUGGAAACUCACUACUGCAGUCUGCCCAAUCAUCAAACUGAUAAAGGAUAUCACCAUUUAAGAGUCUUGCCACGGCCUUUUUUGCACUGUCAGGAUUGCAAACUGCUGCAUGUUAUCAUUCAUCAAACCCAUCUGUUCAAGAGCAUGGAAGAUAUCAGGAUUUAUCAAAUGGCAUGAGGGAAGGAGAUGAUCAGUGGUUGAGAAGAAUGCUGAUUCUUUAAGAAGUCC